GUGGGGAAUAUUGGACAAUGGGCGAAAGCCUGAUCCAGCCAUGCCGCGUGUGUGAAGAAGGUCUUCGGAUUGUAAAGCACUUUAAGUUGGGAGGAAGGGUAGUAACCUAAUACGUUGCUACUUUGAUGUUACCGACAGAAUAAGCACCGGCUAACUUCGUGCCAGCAGCCGCGGUAAUACGAAGGGUGCAAGCGUUAAUCGGAAUUACUGGGCGUAAAGCGCGCGUAGGUGGUUCAGUAAGUUGGAAGUGAAAUCCCCGGGCUCAACCUGGGAACUGCUUUCAAAACUGCUGAGCUAGAGUACGGUAGAGGGUGGUGGAAUUUCCUGUGUAGCGGUGAAAUGCGUAGAUAUAGGAAGGAACACCAGUGGCGAAGGCGACUACCUGGACUGAUACUGACACUGAGGUGCGAAAGCGUGGGGAGCAAACAGGAUUAGAAACCCCUGUAGUCC
rnacentral:rRNA from 1 species